UAAUAAUUAGCGUUGAUACAAUAUGAGGUAUAAAUGGUUUGAUUUAAAUUAAGAAUGUGUGGUAUGUUUUUUAAAUAAGUGAAAAUAGAACAUAAAAAGUCUUAAAAGCAUUUGUUAUACUUAUGUAAUUUGUCAUUUGACUUUAUGUAAUGGUUGUUAAAAUAUUAUUUAAGUAGAUUUCACGUCAGCACGAAUUUACUACGAAUUCUGCUUUUAAGACUAUAUAACACAAACAUUAAAUUGUCGCCUCUGCAGUACCGUAUUUGCCUCUAGGGGUCAAUACGCACAGGCGGGAUUCAGGCUGAAACAUGAGAAGAAACUCAACGGUCGUCGGACGUCAACCUCGUGCAGAUGCUGACACGCAGGCUCGUGCGGCGCCACUUUCAACCGCGACGAAAUAUUUCUGUCAGCAUCAGACAUCAGAAACAUCAGUCUGAGGAAUCUCUGGUGACUCUUCAACACACUACAGUUCUUCGUUGCAUCCCUGUUCUUCUUGGAGACAAGCCCUCAGAUUUUUUCAAACUCUGCUUUAACACAAAAGAAAAUAUUUUCAAGAUUUUGUGAUUCUUUUGAAAUCACAAACUUGAAAAGUGAAAUCUUCUUCUGGACCUUUUGGUGACUCCCCAUUUGGGAAA